UGGCCAGAAUCAAACCUGUGACUCUGGUCUGAGGGCCAAUGCUCAAACCGCUGAGCCAAACCGGCCAGGGCAAAAUACUUUUUUAUAUUCUAGAUGCAUCUUUCAGUUUAUUGCAUCCUGGGUCGGGAGUUCUCAAUGUUGGCAAUGUUAUCAAUAUUGAGUUGAAUAAUUCUUUUUUGUGGGAGCUCUCCUGCGCAAUGUAGGAUGGUUGGCAACAUUCAUGCCUGUAUCUAUUAAAGGUCAGUAGCACCCCUCAGUUGUGACAAAUGAAAAUGUUAUGGACAUUGCCAAAUGUCCCCUGGGGUGCAAAAUUGCCCCUGAUUGAGAGCCAUGCUGUAAAUGUUCAGUGUUUUGUUUUUUGACACAUAAAAUAAUGGCCUCAAUUAAAAUUGCUUGAAUUUUGGAGUUAGUAAAAUAUCAUUCUUGCUUUAAAGCCUCCUUGCAUGUCCUAAUUUUAUUGUGCUUUAGUGCUUUUCAUUUUCCUACUCACAUGCCUUCUAAUCCUCAGAUUUUCCCAUGACGAAAGCCCGGAGAUCAUUGAAGGCCAAGCUGAAAUGUAUCUCUGCUUUUCCGGUGCUUCCCGUAAAAAUACAAUCUGAGGGAACAGGAAAGACCUUUUAAAAACAAAAUUACUCCUCAGAUUCCAGAGAAAGUCAGUGCCUAGCAGCACUGGUCAACAUCUGAAGUCUGACAGACUGUUACAUAGACAUGCAAUCUCCAACAUUAAGAAGUAGGAAGAAAUGAUCUCAUAAUGUCUGUCCUCUGGUGGUGAGACAUCGGACUAUAUCUGCAAAGUCUGCAUCUCUCCGGCUGUCCUGCAGUGAUGUAUAUAGUACAAUGCGGAAGGAAGAGCGUGUUCGCACAGCAAUGCAACCCUCCUGAUUAGCCCUGCUCGGAUCCGAUUUAUGCUUUGCUCCUCGGCUUCGAGGUACUUAGGUGUUCAGUUUGCAUUCUAGUCUGUUCCAUUUUAUA